rnacentral:rRNA from 1 species
CCUACGGGAGGCAGCAGUGAGGAAUAUUGGUCAAUGGACGAGAGUCUGAACCAGCCAAGUAGCGUGAAGGAUGACUGCCCUAUGGGUUGUAAACUUCUUUUAUAAAGGAAUAAAACGAGGCACGUGUGCCGUUUUGCAUGUACUUUAUGAAUAAGGAUCGGGUAAAUCCGGGCCAGCAGCCGGGGGAAUACGGAGGAUCCGAUCGUUAUCCGGAUUUAGUGGGUUUAAAGGGAGCGUAGGUGGGUUGUUAAGGUAGGUGUGAAAGUUUGCGGCUCAACCGUAAAAUUGCAAUUGAGACUGGCAGUCUUGAGUACAGUUGAGGUAGGCGGAAUGCGUGGUGUAGCGGUGAAAUGCUUAGAUAUCACGAAGAACCCCGAUUGCGAAGGCAGCUUACUAAACUGUGACUGACAUUGAUGCUCGAAAGUGUGGGUAUCAAACAGGAUUAGAUACCCUGGUAGUC